ensembl:lncRNA
AGGAUUGAAAAAGGCUCAGAGGAAAAAAUAAAGAAAAAAAAGUGAGGCUAGGCUCCAGCAGCAAAAGACAGGAGAGCAUCAACAUUUCUUGUAAAAUAUGAUGUUGGAAUACAAAUGUCUGUAAAUUCUGGAGAAUUUUCCUGAGAAAGUAAAAUGGCAGUUUUCAUCACAAUCUGCAGAAGGAUUUCCUCUGCCUUCUUCUGAAGUUUCUCAUCCUGGUCAAUGUAAAAAAAAAAAAGGAUACUGAAGCAAAUGAAUGUGUGAGCUAAUCCCAAAUAACAAGUCCCAAAUCCUGCCUGCAUUGUACCUGAAAGUACAAAGCUUGAGGAUACCUGUUGCUCUUGAGCCACUUUUCAGAAGCACAAGGAUUACCCCCAGAGAAGAAAGGGAUACCCUGCUGUGUCUGGUAAUCUGCAAUUAGAAAACGAUCCCAAGGGGGACUAUUAGCAGCUGGUAUAGUUUAGAGCUGUCCAGACAAGCACUGAAUUAGCUGGAGAAUCUGGAACCACAACUAGCUGCUUGACAAGCCUCUCACUCAUCCUAUCUUGCAAACAGCAAAAUCUGCAUACAGCAGAUUUUGAGCUACUGUCUGAUGAUACAUCGGCAUGUGCUAUGGUGGAACAGGUCAGUUCUGCUCCACGGUGGGUGAAAGCAUUUGUUUAUUUAGAUAUGGAAAGCAUGGGAAUGUGACCCCAUUCAAGACAAAUGUCUUGGGUGUUGUGUGCUGGGUAUUGUAAUACAAUUGUAAAAUGUUUUGUCUUUCUCCUCUUAAAUUGGCUUAUACUUGCCCUUUCAGUAAUACACACAAAAUUAGAUCUAAUUUGAAAAUAGAUUAUUUCUGGAACAGCAGAAUUUAAUUUUGCAACUGGAGCAUAAUGGGUCCCUGGGUAAGUAGGAGCACAAGACUAACAACAGGGAGAGCCAGGAGGGUUUGGUGGGAAGUCCAGUGGGUUGGGGAAUGAUGGAUUUCAGGGAACUAAGUGGGCAAAAGGAAGGGGAGGAAUGUCCAUAGAGGUUUUGAGGAGGUGGGAAGACUGGAGGCGGAGGAGAUGGGACAGAAGGUAGAAAUGUUAUGGAUACUUUUGUUGGGAAAAAGCAAUGGGGAGGAUUCAGUGGGGCAUUUCAUGGGGAAAGGGACUGAGAGUAGUCUUUCUGGUCAUCAACAUCCCGCUAACCUGACUACAGGAUAACCAAAUGUGAGGGAUUUAAGAUGAUGGCAUAGCACUCUGUUAGGUCUCCUAAUUGGCAUAUGAAAUGCAUUUCAGGUAAUACCAUGGAAAUUACAGACUCUUCAUAGUUAAUUUCUUGUUGAUACUAAGCAACAUUUUUGAGAAAUCUGAAAUUUGUCCCACCAGCUGAACCAAUUUCAGCUUUCAACAUUUGGAAAAGUUGUCAAUUUUUGGAAUAGCUUUUUGCCAUUUUUGCUAAUUAUCUUCAGAUCAAAAUAUCCUCCUAAUUGCUGUUGUCAUGAACAAUGCAACACUGCUACUCACAAUGAUAGCUAGUCUGUAUCUUUAAACAAAAUUCCUCCAGGCCACUUAAUCAACAUAUCUGUUUCAAGUAAACAAUGGUACCAUUUCCUGAACAAGAAAAUAAGACGUUUUUGGAAAACUUAGUUGUGUAAUAAAAAGAUCCUCUAUUUCUCUGCA